GAGGAAACCCAGGACUUGAGAGAGCCAUACAAUUUGAAAGACGAAGCACCGUGAAAUGCAGAAAGUUGUGGUUCGGAUAGCUCAGCUGAUUAAUUUCAUGUUGCCACAGUUUGUCAAACAUGGACAAGAUGGCUGGGGUCCUGUGGAGUUCUAGUAAUCUUCUUACGAUAAUAAAGCAACCUUAUGCCAUAUGAUAUGCUAAGGAUGGAGGAAGAUAGAGUCUAGGUGCCUGAUGACAACAUGGAGCUGUCAAGCCCUGCAUUGCCUCCCCCUGGACGUCUCAUUAUGGGAGAAAAUGAAGCAAUUUGUUUAAGCCACA
rnacentral:lncRNA from 1 species